GCUUGGAUGGCUCAGUUGGUUAGAGCGCAGGUCUCAUACAAAAGUAUGACCGCCUUCGGGUGGGCAAUCCUGAGGUCGUGAGUUCGAUCCUCACUCCGAGCA
rfam:Dichomitus squalens LYAD-421 SS1 unplaced genomic scaffold DICSQscaffold_17, whole genome shotgun sequence.